AUCAAACUGAAAAAUGUCAUACAUCUGGCACCCAACCUAUGUGCUCACACUGGCCUGUAACUAUCUAUUUUAUUACUAAAGCCAGAGUUUUCACCCACUAGCCACUUGGUACUAACUCAAAGAGCCACUAUGCCAAUCUAGUGUGCCAUUUGACUGGUUCCAGUCUGCUGCUAGUGUUAUGUAUCAUGAACAUCAGGAAUACAGGUUCGUAUCAACUUUAUCAAAUACAUAUUUUAUUCUUCUUCUUCAAAUAAGCUAGUAGGAGGCAGAUGGAUAGGUAGAAGGUAUUCUGUAUGUAGAUACCUAUUUAGACACUGGACAAGCCCUGCAUAAAUCUUUACCAAAUUGCAAUGCAUCCAAUCCAACAGGGCCGGACUGGCCCACCAGGAUACC